rnacentral:lncRNA from 1 species
AUCAUUCAGUAGAAAAUUUAUGUUGGAGAAAGAGAAUCGGAUGAGAGAGAUUUACCCGAGGACAUUUUAUGAGUAUUGGUGGAUUAUGAUUGUAUGAAAUUUCGGGGACGAAAUUUUAUAAGGUGGGUAGAUUGUCACAGCCCGUCCCAAAGUUUUACACUCGUGAUGGUGAAUUAACGGAAAUGUCCCUAAUACGUGACUAAGGUAUAAUUUUCACGUUCGUUAUAUCUAAGCUCCUAAACUUUGGUAAUUAGAGUGGAGACUUAGACUUAAAUUUUAUGAUAGAAUUUUGUAGUUGGGGAUUGGGUAGGAUCCCACACACCUCAAAUCCUUCCCUCUUUCCCGUACCCUGUCUCUCUCUCUCCUCCCUCACGAACUCUCACUCUCUGUUCUAUCCCUCUCAAAUGCACGGACAAACUCCAAAACCACCCUAAACUUCUACCAACGGAGUUAAGACC